CUCUGUCUCAUCCAGUACACUUAAGACAAGUAGAGCACUGAAACCUUAGGACCUAGGAGUUUGAGCUGGGUAAAGGAGUCUGAAACCAAGAGGCAAUGCACACAGGGGUGCCAGCCCGGGAGCUUUUUGUUACCUUUUUCUAUUUCCUUGCAUUCUACUUGCUGUGCCGAUUCCCUUGUCAAGUGCACCUUCUGUUUUAAAUAUCCAUACUGUACUGUAUAUUGAACACUCAUUGAGCCUUGAUAUGUUGCUUUACCACUGACCUCUUGAAGCCCGCUGAAUUUGGAUUCUGUUUGUCCUUUGAAUCUGGCUUUAUGCUUCUCUGAACAGGAAAUUAGAGACCAAGAUAGAUGCUACUGAGUAAUGCUUUUAUCAGGAGGUGGCAAUGAAUGUGUAUUUAUUUCUGGCUUUGCUCUCAUUAGUCCAAAUGAUGGGAGAUGAGUGGGGCGGGCAUUGAAACUGCGUAUAUAAAAGGGCAGGCAGAGCUUCAGGAGACUCAAAGAAGUGCCACAAACUGAUAUUACUGCGUUCAACAACAUCCAAGGUUGCAAUGCUAAGACCAUCUCUCUGGGCAGCAGCAGCUGCUAUGACACUCUUCAUCACUUGUGUCACAUCAAAUCCUGUCUAUAGUGAGGAAGAGUGGAAAUCCCUCAGCAACCCUCAGAGCAGGAUCCUGUUUUACCGAAUCCUUCAGUCUUACUUCGACGGCAGGGGCGAGAACCUUUUGAAUGUGGACAAAGUGGUUACGGGUUUGGACAGCAGUGCUGUGGAUUCUUACCUGGACGAACACCUACACGGGCUGCAGAGCAACAGUUUACACGAUGUUUAAAGAUUUUGUUCAAUGUCCUCGCUCAAUCGGUGUACAAUAGGCCUACUGUAUGUCGCACUCUCAGUCGGGUGGUAUUAAAAUGUUGUUUGUAUGCAGCUUCAGCUCAUUUGUGUUAUUUCAAAUCUAACAGAUUGGUUCCUCAAUCAACCAGCAGUGCAAACCGUUUCUCCUCUGAACACGAACGCGCUUAAUAUUUCAGAAGUAGCCUCAGGUCGUCGGGCAUUCUGGACAAGAAAUCAUGCGUUUGCCUGCUACUAUUCAAGGUGAAUCAACUUUUAAAACACAAGCUUUUGUGUUUGACGGUCAAUGCCACUGGCUUCUAUUAUUUGUUGCAGUAAUGCUCAGAGGAAAAGCGGAGUUAUUGAUGGUCCCUGUUCUAAAAGCAAAUUUGGCGGCUACAGUAGCCUAUCAAUUAGGCUUGUUAAAAGUUAUGUAAACUGCAAAAUUACUCACCUCUUUCCAUUAUGAUUUUAAGGUUAAGGAUACGGGCACAACAUGCGAUCGUGACCGAGACACGCAGGUGGAAAUGCAUACGAACUUAAAAUAUUAUUAUUAUUAUUAUUAUUAUUAUUAUUAUUUGUUGUGCUAUUUUUUAUAUCCUGUUGACUUUAGAAAUGUUGCUCUGAAUGCUGCUUCUUGAUCUGCUUAUUAUGAGUUUCUGAGUAUAAUAAACGGUGUAUGAUUUUUUUAUUGGGGGAGAGAGAUGAUUUGGCACCACUUAACUAGUCCUUACUAGAAGUUUGGCAUCUGACGGUGACACCAGAUGUCGCCAAACGCGCAGUCAUAUACGCACCGGGAAUUAUUUUCUGAGAAAUCUCGCUGAUCGUUGUUGUAUCAUUGCCAACAAGCUGUGUACAAUUAUUUUCGUAUCGCAUCAUCUUUUUUCAAUGUUAGAUAAAAACAAAGACUGCUGUACAGUUGAUUAUAGAAAUAAACAUUUAAUUCAUG